CGAAGGGGGCUAGCGUUGCUCGGAAUCACUGGGCGUAAAGCGCACGUAGGCGGCUUUCUAAGUCAGGGGUGAAAUCCUGGAGCUCAACUCCAGAACUGCCUUUGAUACUGGAGAGCUUGAGUCCGGGAGAGGUGAGUGGAACUCCGAGUGUAGAGGUGAAAUUCGUAGAUAUUCGGAAGAACACCAGUGGCGAAGGCGGCUCACUGGCCCGGUACUGACGCUGAUGUGCGAAAGCGUGGGGAGCAAACAGGAUUAGAUACCCUGGUAGUCCACGCCGUAAACGAUGGAUGCUAGCCGUUGGCGGGUUUACCCGUCAGUGGCGCAGCUAACGCAUUAAGCAUCCCGCCUGGGGAGUACGGUCGCAAGAUUA
rnacentral:rRNA from 1 species